AUUUAGUGCCUGCAGCUGGAACAAGCACUAUGUUUCUCUAAAACAGCAGCAUUUAAAAAGUGGGAAUGUUCUGCAUGUGUGUUAUGUGAUUCUGUGGAGAAGGGAGGAGGUGAUGUCUGAAGGUGUGGGCUGCGGAAGAGGUGGAUGGUGCUGAAGCCAGUGAAAAGCUCACAGAAACAGCAGCCUCUCCUGGGAAGAUACCUCCUCAUGGACGAGUGAUAAGCCUUUCCCCCAGAGUGCAGGAGCUAGGCUGCAGAGAACAAGGCACAGCACACUCUCCUGGCUGCUCCAGCUUGUGGCAGCCCUCACUGAACCCACUGCGAUGGGAAUCGUUGUACAAGGUGCCCAUCCCUCACUUCAAGCCUGCGUUCCUCCUCCCCACCACUCCCGGCUUCCAUCAGCAUCCUACAGUGCUGUCCUUCCCUUUUGGCCUACUGGCAAGGAACAAGGAACAAGGAACAAGUCCAUCCUGGCAUAUAACCACCGUGCAGAGCAGCUGCCAUCCCCAGCCCCAGCACCCUGCAGACAGACCUUCCUUGGAGCCGUGCAUGGUGUGUAUUUGGUUGCGGAGUUCCUCCUAGAAAUGCAUCGGUUUGGAGAUUCCUACAGCCACGUGGGACCUGAUUGGAUAAUGAAAAUCUCAUCUGCAGGAAUAAGGCAGAGAGACAGAGAUGAAACUGGAUUUGAAGAUGGUGUUUGGGCCAGUUCAAGAUUGCCACGACCUUCACCUUUUGCUUCUAAGAACAGAGACACUGGGAAGCUGCAGGACCAGCAAGUCAGGAUAUUUAAGUUAUAAUCACCUUUGUUUUCUCGUUCAUGUGACAAAGGUUGUCUAACAACCCUGGCAUGAUAAGGGUAGGGAAGCAGAGCACUCUGGGCGGUGCAGCAGCACCAGGCAAUGUGAGAGAUGGAGGCACAGCUCCUGCACUUUGGGGGCUGGGAAGC
ensembl:lncRNA